UNGACAGCAGGACGGUGGCCAUGGAU
rnacentral:piRNA from 1 species